CGCAGCCGCGGUAAUACGGAGGGUGCAAGCGUUAAUCGGAAUUACUGGGCGUAAAGCGCACGCAGGCGGUCUGACAAGUCAGAUGUGAAAUCCCCGGGCUUAACCUGGGAACUGCAUUUGAAACUGUCAGGCUGGAGUCUUGUAGAGGGGGGUGGAAUUCCAGGUGUAGCGGUGAAAUGCGUAGAGAUCUGGAGGAAUACCGGUGGCGAAGGCGGCCCCCUGGACAAAGACUGACGCUCAGGUGCGAAAGCGUGGGGAGCAAACAGGAUUAGAUACCCCUGUAGUCCCUGUCUCUUAUACA
rnacentral:rRNA from 1 species